CAAGUCGCGUGCGCAGUUGCCGUAGCAAUACGGUGAUGGGCGCACGGCGCACGGGUGCGUAACACGUGGGCAAUCUGCCCUCCGAUGGGGAAUAACCCCGCGAAAGCGGGGCUAAUACCGCAUAACAUUCCUUGAGCGAUGGUUCGAGGAUUCAAAGCAGUAAUGCGUCGGAGGAGGAGCCCGCGCCCGAUUAGCUAGUUGGUGAGGUAACGGCUCACCAAGGCAAUGAUCGGUAGCUGGUCUGAGAGGAUGAUCAGCCACACUGGAACUGAGACACGGUCCAGACUCCUACGGGAGGCAGCAGUGGGGAAUCUUGCACAAUGGGCGAAAGCCUGAUGCAGCGACGCCGCGUGGGGGAUGAAGCUUUUCGGAGUGUAAACCCCUUUCGCCUGGGACGAAUGCCCGCAAGGGAGUGACGGUACCAGGAUAAGAAGCCCCGGCUAACUACGUGCCAGCAGCCGCGGUAAGACGUAGGGGGCCAGCGUUGUUCGGAAUUACUGGGUGUAAAGGGUUCGUAGGCGGUGUGGCAAGUCGGGAGUGAAAUCUCUGGGCUCAACCCAGAGGCUGCUUCCGAAACUGCUGUGCUUGAGUGUGAGAGAGGCUCGUGGAAUUGCAGGUGUAGCGGUGAAAUGCGUAGAUAUCUGCAGGAACACCCGUGGCGAAAGCGGCGAGCUGGAUCACUACUGACGCUGAGGAACGAAAGCUAGGGGAGCAAACAGGAUUAGAUACCCUGGUAGUCCUAGCCCUAAACGAUCAGGACUUGGGGUGCCGCCCGUUCGGGCGUCGUCCCGGAGCUAACGCGUUAAGUCCUGCACCUGGGGAGUACGGUCGCAAGACUGAAACUCAAAGGAAUUGACGGG
rnacentral:rRNA from 1 species